UUAUCUGGCCAUUUUGAUUAAUGCAAAAAAAAUAAAUUUCCACUUGGUUAAUAGCUUUACUCUACAUGUUCUUUUUUUACUUAAUAAUCCAAACAAGGCACGACAACUGAGGUGAAUUUUCUAUUCCACUUGGGAUUUCAUUCUUUUGUUUCAAUGGGUCCUACUCUAUGAAGUAUGAACGCAUCUUGUUUGACAAUGUCUAUUUACAAUCCCAAUUAGCUAGGCCCCGCGUCCACGUGGGUAGUCACGCUAGAGUCUAGACCUCUUCGUUCUCUGCAUGUCCAUUCACAGCCAAACACGUGUACGCUUCCGAUUGAAGUAGGUCCCACAUCCACGUCACCAUCAUGCCACAUGGACAGGCAGUAACCUAAUAUUAAAUUUAUUUAUUAAAAUAAUUAGCAGCACUGCAAGAUUUGGUGGGCUGGUCAUGAUAUUGACUAUAAAAUUAAGCCAUUUUUUUGCAUAAUUGAUGACAAUAAUAUUAUUAAUAUGAUUAAGAUCCAUAAAUGUAUUUUUUUAUGGAUCCAAGCUAGUCUGUGGCUUGAAUUUUUAAUAUCAUGAUUAUCGUUUCCAGGUAUAAACUUGAAUCCGACUUACGGUUAAAACAAUAUCCACUUGUGUGUUGAUGGGUUAUGAAAAAAGCAAAGUGUUUUUCGUGUCUUCUUGAAGGGCACAUUGGGCGGUCGAGAAUGAAAUGGUGGGGGCCCUAUUUUGGGCCCCACAAUCACUCGUCUUUUUUAAUUGAACAAGAAACCUUAUCAUAAAAUCAUGUACAUUUCACAAUCAAUCAACCGUCCAAGCCCAUGGGGAUGCCAAAAAUCACGACCACUUUCUUUACUUCUUGCUGCUGCUGCUUGGGUUGUUCUUGUUCGUUUCACUGCUUGCUUGCUGUGAUGGUAUAGUACAGUGCUAUGGUUGUGCAGUGGUAUUAUUGACCGACGUGGGAUCCAUUUUUACUGUGGAAAGGCAUGCUCUGGACCCAUUUUUACAUGUUGGGUUGGCUAGGUGUGGACCCUGACCCAGCUCCAGCUUAAUAGGUAUUGGACCUAUCGGUGUUCAGAUCAGUAUCCUAUGCUCCCGUUUGGCUGGCUACUACAUGUUGUUGCCCGCACAGUAUAUUUUUUUGGGAUAUUUAGUUUAUCACACUUACUUAUAGAUUGGACUCGAUAGACAGCCUGCGCGUUGCGAUAUGAAUAAAACAAAAUAAAGUAAAAAAAAUCAUGUUCAGACACACCUAAUGUGUUUUCUUUAAACAAGAAAAAUCUAAUAGAUGGGUUGUAGGCCUGUCUAGUUCAACAAACUAAUAUUAAAAAAUAAAAAUUAAAAAUAUCAAUAAAACAAAAAAAAUUAACUAACAAAAAGACAAAAAUAAUAACUCAAGUAAAGCUGAUGAACCUACCAAACUUAUAAACCGGAUCGUGAAAUGAGAAUAGCUUCAUGAAAAGAAAAUUAAAAAAACUUUACAAAGCUCAAUUCCCAACUAAUCUAAUAUUGAAAAAUAAGAUUGAGAAAAACAAUGUUACUAAAAAUAACAUUAAAAAGAUAAGGAUCGAAUUUGACAUAAAAAAAAAAUUAACAACAAAAACAAUUCACAACCCCUUUUUCUAUUUUGGAUAGAGUGAUCCAUGGAAACCUAUGAGAAGAGAAAGAAAAGAUAUAGGCUAAGAAGAAAAAAAAAAAAGUCAUUAGAGUUACACCAAAGUUCAUCAAUAAACACGCACUGUCUCAUAAAAAAGUUAUUAUUGAGACGAUUCCAACGACACUGGUAAAAAAACUCUUUAGAUCUCGAAGAAGUCACACACGCCACUACAACACGGUGGCCUUUUCCAUAUGCUAGCGUGUGUUACACCCAUUAACCAACUUUUGCUUUUAGUUUCUAAUCCAACUAAAAAAGGGGUUGAAAACUUCAAUGUGGUCCUUGAAGUUUAGAUUGUUUUGAAUCAAUAAAAUUGAAUUUGAUUUUUUCAAAUCAAAUAUCAACAAAAUAUCGUAUUUUUUUUUUGCCAACACCUCAAGAACUUCGUACCAAGCCAAUCGAAACAAAUCAAAAUGCCCAAACUUAAAUCAACCUAAUAUAAUUGAUAAAAAGAAAGUUCAGGCCACCAAAAAAAUCAUAUAAUAAGAGAUAGAUAGAGAGAGAGAGAGAGAGAGAGUAACUCACAAAGCAUUAAUGAGAAUCUACAUUCACACACCACCAUCGGAUCAGAUUACCUCAUGUUUAACGAAAUGAUCAAAAUGUUAUGCUGAACCUCACCCAAUGAUCACUCUGUUGAGCUUAUAGCAUGUGAGUUGCGGUGUGUCUUAUCCUUGGAAAAACUGAGAACCUUGACGUGAAAUGUUGACGGGACAACAUAAAUUAUAGUUUGAUACGAUAUUUUGGAAGGCUCAUGGCCUCCACAAGCUAGUAAAAGUAAA
rnacentral:lncRNA from 1 species